UUACAGGAUUAGUAAACAUCUAAUUCAAUUUAACUUUAACUUUUUCUAUUUAUUUAUUUAUUUUUUUAUUUAUUUUAUAUAAACAGUAGUGUUGCUUUUCAGACUGUCCAAAUUAAUCUGAAAAGGAAUGUUUGACUACAUUAGACUAUGUACAAUCAUUCACAUGUCAUAAUUAUGGUAUAUGAUAUUUUGAAAUGGCAUUUUUAGUCCAGGGUUUACAGUAUUGGUCAAAAAUUGUAUUAAUGCAUUUAUGUGGCACACAAACAGGUCCUACAUAAUGAUGUAAUUAAUUGCAACUCUAACAUGUGUAGGUCAUUAUACCAGGAGAGAGGAGAAGCCUUUUUUUAGACCCAUUGGGGGAAACUAAGGCAAAAAUAAAACACUGUGAGGACAUCACACGUUCAUUUAUGAGGCAAAGAGGGCUUACUCCAUCGAGAUGGGCAUGUGAUACACUGCCUCACCCACUUCAACAGGAUGCCUCUUCCUGUGGGGCCUUUGUAUUGAAGGUAUGUAUGACAGCAAAAUGAAGAAGAAGAAUUGGAUUUUAAUGCAAGAAACAAUUGAGUCACCCGGGUGCAUGUUGAGAAUGAGGAGCAUGACAAAGGACACAUUCUAUACCCCAAAAUGACACAGUAUAAGUUAAAGGUCAUUUCAGGCCUCACAUCACAGAGACAGUUUCUUCUAGUAGCCUCCAUAGCAAGGACUGAGGUCCAACAAUGACACAUACACCACACAUACUACUACUACUGCAACAUAUGAAUUCAUCUGCUCUUUUUUACAUUGCAAAUCUCAGGGCAUGCCUCUGUACUGUCUAUAUUUAUGACUCUUCUCUAUAUGACUUAUUGUGUGUUUUGUAAUCUCCAUUUGUUUAUCACUACUAUUACUAAUAACUGACCAACACACAUUUCUUGUAUUCCAAACAUGCUUUGCAAACAAACAAUUUCUGAGGAAGAUUCUGAUGUAAAGUCACUUUUAAAAGAUUUUGACCAUUUGUGUAAUUAUUAAAGGCACAGUUAAAAUGCUCUAAUAAGGGCAACCCUUAUGGGUUACUUGGCACUCAUUAAAGCUUUGUUACGUUAAGGUAACAAAAAAAAGACUAAUACUUUUUCUGCAACAGGUAAAAGAUGUUUCAACCACUAUUGUUACCAGCUAGUGGGCCACAUACAAUAAUUCUAACUUGUUUAAAAAUGUAUCAUUUAUUCACAGUUUGCUGAGUGCAUCUUGCUUGGUUGUUCAGUGUCAUUUGACAAUUCAUCCUUAAGCAUGAAUGCCACAAGAGAGAAGAUUGCUGUAUGUCUUCUUCAGAAUACAGAUGACCUGACUGACCUGUGUCAUUUCUGUGGGGAGCAGGCUGGUGACACUAAUUGGAUUGGCUGUAACAUUUGUCCAAGAUGGUACUACAGGGGCUGUGUCAACAAACCUAGAAAAAAGCAGUAUUUGUGAGGCCUGCCAGUAAAAUCUAUUCUUCACCCUGGUGUCUUGUACAUAUAUUAGUUCUUUUUGCAUGUAUAUAGUUUUUAAUAUUUUGGUCUUACAAGCAUCUGUUUUUAUUUUAGCACUAAGUAUUGAAAAAUAAA